rnacentral:rRNA from 1 species
UACGUAGGGGGCAAGCGUUGUCCGGAAUCAUUGGGCGUAAAGAGCUCGUAGGCGGCCUGUUGCGUCCGCUGUGAAAUCCCGGGGCUCAACCCCGGGCCUGCAGUGGAUACGGGCUGGCUAGAGGCAGGCAGGGGAGAACGGAAUUCCUGGUGUAGCGGUGAAAUGCGCAGAUAUCAGGAGGAACACCGGUGGCGAAGGCGGUCUCUGGGCCUGUACUGACGCUGAGGAGCGAAAGCGUGGGGAGCGAACAGG